CAGCGAUUUUAGAUUUAUAGAAGGCAUCAAGAGACCUGUGAGAAAGUGGCCUUAUACUUCUCCUGGUUCUCUCCUUCGCAUUUUACACAAGUGAUGCGAGCACUGCCACGGUACCUACGGGUGUGCACCCACUAGGAGGGCACGCAUGGACGCAGUCACAUGGCCCCGCGCUCUCAGUCACCUCCUGAGGACCAGGUCAACUCCGCGAAAUGAAACAAUACUGAGGUUUCCCGCAAUGAAGCCCAGGCAGAGGCGUCUCUGGCCCCGUCCUCCUAGUCCUGACUGGAGGAGUAGCCCGGCCCUAGGCAGCCGCCACGCUUCCCCUUGUGCCCUCUACUCCUCUCUCCCA
rnacentral:lncRNA from 1 species